GAUUAUUAUCAUCUGCCAUAAAAUUGAACAGAAGAGGCGUACUUUAGCUGCCUUUCAUUUGUUUAUAAUUAGAUCUUUUGUAUUGAGUGUGAAUUUAUUUAUUUAAUUUGAAACCAAGAAGUCCAACUAAUCUGUGGUUUGGUUCAUGCUAUUUGUGUUUUCUGUUCUGAAGUUUUUUUUAGUUGCUUGCUUAGAUUUCUAUAAAUCGCUUCCCUCUGUAAUUGUGCAUUGUCUCAACAUUUAAACACAUGAUAAAAGAAGUAGCUAUCUAUGAACUCAGUAGGUUUGAUGGUAACUUUUGUUAAUUUUCAAAGGCGGAGGAUUUGCUGAUGCAUAAAUGAUUUACAAUAUUUUUGAAGUUAAUGACAUUGGAAAGACAUGCUUCGUACUAUAUAGCUUAUGCUUUUCACAUGGAGUUCAAAUCUGAGGUGGAAAACACCACUGAGAUCUUCAGUCUCAGAAUAUCUAGAAAGGCAGAGUCUAUGGAAAGUUGAAUGAUUCUUACGAAAAAUUCAUGCGCAUUCGAGGGACCUUCUCCUAUCUACACUGAAACUACAUGACUGGAGGAGAGCGCAGAGGAGAGGAUAAAAGAAAAAAAAUCUUUACCUAGAAAAUGGACACAUUAAAGGUUUCUACUCUUUGCUUACUCUUUUGAAGGUUUUGGUAGACAAAGAAGAAUUUAUAGCACUGGGAAUAAGAACUAAACCAUCUCAUAAUUAUCAACUGCUCUGCUGCUUAAUGAUGGCUGUGAGACUAAGAAGUAGGAGUAUGAUUCAUUCACGAAAACAAUCAUGAAGUGUUUAUUUAUCAGCUUCGUACAAUGAACAUCCUCCACUAAAUUCCAUAAAAUCUAGAAAUCAAUAAAAUCAAUGAGGAGAAAAAAACAUCAAUGGACAAUGGUUGCUGAGUAUUCUGCGGAAGCCAUCUUAAGAAGGGUCCAUGCUCUACAAAACGAUGAUUUUAUGCCUCCAAUUGAAGCCAUCCUUGCUCCAUUAGAAGCUGAGCUUAAGCUUGCACGAUAAGAGGUAUUUUAUGUUCUUUGUUGGGAAGGUUAAAGAAGAUAAGAUGGUUUUGAAUCGUAUAACUUAAUCAAAAUAAGCUGCCUUACUUAAUGCUGAGAGGACUAUUGGAUGUGCCCUGGCAAAAAGCAGUGAUGAUUGAUGAUGUUAAAAAUAGAUGUCAUGAGUUAAUGAAACAAAAACAAAUCUGACAGGUUCUGUAGUUAUCUUAAUUCUUUGUAUGUAUUCUCAACACGCUAGAGAUAGGAAAUCUCCCAGUACAACUAUAUUAUGACGAUCAAAGACAAAAGUUUGAAAGCUGUUCUAUUGUACUUGCCAUUACCAAUA